rnacentral:lncRNA from 1 species
GGGGAAUAAACAAAAUGGUCACGUUCCAUCCAUGCAACUACAUGUGGAAAUUGAAAAAGAUAUUCAAAAAGAUUCGUUUUUCAUGGGUCAUAAAAGUUAUUAAAAGAUAAAGUACCACUAUCUAACCAUUUUCCACAAAGUUGAUUGAAACUGUCUAUGAGUGCAAAGCGAGGAAAAGAGAGUAAUACCUAAACAUAGGAUCAAGGGGAUGUUAAUUAUCAUAUAAUAUAAUUAACUGAAAUGAGCAUUGUUUUGGUAUGAAUGUUAUUUGAAAUGGGCAUUGGUCUAUAUAUAUGAAUCUUCAUUGUCAAUGGUUUACACUUAUAAUACACAUGAAACUUUGAAACAUUUAGAGUUUGCAAUAAUCUUAAUUAUUUUUCCAAUACACGUAUUAAUUUUUUUUUUUUUUGCUAACUUGUAAAUAUCAUAUAAAUGAAAAGAGAUUUGCAAAGCAAGAUCUUAGUUUGACA